AGUGAACGCUGGCGGUAGGCCUAACACAUGCAAGUCGAACGGCAGCACAGUAAGAGCUUGCUCUUACGGGUGGCGAGUGGCGGACGGGUGAGGAAUACAUCGGAAUCUACUUUUUCGUGGGGGAUAACGUAGGGAAACUUACGCUAAUACCGCAUACGACCUACGGGUGAAAGCAGGGGAUCUUCGGACCUUGCGCGAUUGAAUGAGCCGAUGUCGGAUUAGCUAGUUGGCGGGGUAAAGGCCCACCAAGGCGACGAUCCGUAGCUGGACUGAGAGGAUGAGCGUCGACACGGUAAGUGAGAAAAGGUACAGAACCCUACGGGAGGCAGCAGUAGCGAAUCGGGAGAAAUGGGCGAAAGCGUGAACAAGCACUUCAGGGUGGAUGAAGAAGGUCUUCGUAUAGUAAACCCAUGUUUUUAGGUAAGAAAAAAUGAGGCAGUAAAUAUCCACGUCCUGACGGUACCGAAAAAGAAAGCAACGGCUAACUACGUG
rnacentral:rRNA from 1 species